rnacentral:lncRNA from 1 species
UUUCAUUAAAAGCUAUUCAGUGAUUGUUUAUCAUUUGAGCUGUCUUUGACAGGCACUUACCUCUUCUUUGUAGUGUAGGUAAGUCAUGGUUAAGCACAACACCCCUCUCAAACUCACUAAAAAUAAAUGAAUAGUAACAUUGCUUGAUUGCUCAUCAUAAGUUUCUCUCUUUCUGUUAUCAGCCUGCAGGGGAGAAUUAUGCUCAUCCAAAUAUAUGUUUCUUCCACGUGUUUUUCAACGUCAUUUAUUAUCUUCUUUUGUGAUGUUAUUUCUAUAUGCAAAUUUUACUAGUGGAUAACAUUAAAUUCUUUCAUUUGGCAGGCUGCAGCUUUGGCAUUUUACAUACUUUCAGCUCUACUUUUUGAUAGCUUUGUCAUUAUUUUUGUUUUUACCGUGCUUCUAGCUGCUCUUGAUUUUUGGGUAGUCAAGAAUGUGAGUGGACACAUCUUGACAGGAUUACGAUGGUGAAAUGAAAUAAACAAAGAGGGUGAGAGUGUGUGGAAAUUUGAAUGUCUUGAUGAGGAGGUGGGUAAUCAUGUUUCCCACAACCUUAGUUUGCGUAUUUAAUUUUGGUGAUGCCUUCUAUAUAUUUGAAUGUUGUAGAUAUUUUCAGUCUCUGCAUCAUGAAUUUAGAUGUUGCUUAUUUGACUUGUUCUGACUUAUAUUUUACCCAAUUUCCUGCUCUCCCCUGCUCAGUCAUUGGCUUGGAUUAAUCAGAAGGAUUCUUGGCUGUUCUAAUAAGAUAUCUUCUGAUUUACAGGUCCUUGGUAUCGUCAAGAAGGGAAGAAGGGAGCAGGGUAAAAAAAUGGUUGGACAGCAACAAUAAGAAUAGUAGUUAUGGGAGGGCAGUUUUAAUGGAUAAGCAAGUGAAUAAUAUAGCUAAAGAUUGUGGCUCUUUUGCCUGUAUAACUUCAUCAGAUCCGCAUGAGGAUGUAUAUCUCUUCCAUUAGUUCAUGAUAUUGCAGCCAUCAUUCGGUCACAUUGUCCAAUGUGUACGGUUUUUAUUUUAAAUUUAAAAUCAACCAUACUUAGUGAAUGGUUUUUAUUUAUAUUUUGAUGAUAUGUAUUGGAUUCAAUGUUACAGUGAUUAACAUUACAUAUUUUAAUUAAUAUAUUGCCU